UCAGAGGCUGGAGCCUGUUUCAGAUUCUGUGUCUCCCUGUCUCUCUCAGCCCCUCCCCCACUUGCACUCUGUCUCUCUGUCUCUCUCAAAUAUAAACAUUAAAAAAAAUUUUUUUUAAAUAUAUCAACUAGUCAACCAACAUGGCAUCUCCUGGUGGUGGCAGAAGCAAUCUGAGCCAGAAAUUUUCAGCUCUUUUGAACACUCUCUGGGAGUUAGUUAAAUGGAACAAAACUGAUUUCCUAAAGGCAGAAUUUCUUAAUAUCUGGGAGAUCCUUGGAGAUACCUGAGAGGUCAUCAAACCAGGGUGGGAAAUCCUGGUGGUUCUAUCAGGACUUAGCAUGAAUAGGUUCUUUAGUCCAGCAGUAUAUACCUGAGGAGAGUCAUGUGGAAUGUAUCAAAGUGGCUAAGUGUUCCUAAUAGAGAUGGUUUUUAGGCCAUUUGUUGGUUAAGGCCUAUAGAUAUAAAUACGGUGAAAUCUCAUUCUCAGGGAGUCCCACAGCUAGUCUAGGCUCUUAGAAGACUCUGAGAGGACCCACACACUCUGCUGUUUACACAAGAUUGUUUAAUAAUGUCUGGUCAUGAGAGAUGGUACUUUUGUUUAGAGAAGCCAAAUCUGAGCGUUCAAGAUCAGCCUUAAUUUCAAGAGAAAGCCAAGAGACCUUGUCUGUGGAGCAGAAUGGUUUCAGUUCCAGGCUGACCCAGCAAGUGUCAUUGUGGCCUUUCCCUUUACCUGUCUGUCUGCCCCUCUCCCCCAACAUUUAGACUUCCUCUCUGAUGGGUUCAUGUUCUAGAGUAAAAACAAAGGUCAUGCAGGGAUCCUGUUCCCCAGAGUUACCAACCGUACCACCUGCUCAUCACCGGUUCCCAGUUUGCUUCCUUGAAGUCUGUGUCCCUCAGCCGCCGUGCCUUCCAUCUAGCUCCCAGGAAGCGCUGCGGCACCACCAUCUAGGUUCGAAACCCUGCACCGCUGCCCUUCUUGUGACUUUUUCAGUGAAUAACUGUUGAGUUCCAUUUAAGAAGUAAAUGGUAGUUACUUUCAUUACAUAGAAAAAGCCUGAAGGAAAUAUACUGAACUAUUUUUGAGGACUUAUUUUUUUCUUUGUGCUUUCUUCAUAUGUUUUACAUUUUCUACUGCAAACGUAACUUUUAUCAGAGGGGGAAAAAAGGGGUUGCCACAAAACAUUCAACCCUACCAAAAAAGGAAAUGCUAUUUAAAAGCUUCCUGGUCAAAUUUCUAUAAAAAGCAUGGUUGUGCUUUAGGUUCUGAGGCCAGUCAUUUCCUGCUUUGGUUAUGUUAUUUUUUUUCCUACUAUACUUAAUCCAAACAAAAACAGUUUUUGCUUGAUUUCAACUUCUAGCUUCAGGUUUCUCAUCUGUAAAAUGAGUUGGUUUAGAUGUUUCUAAGGUCCACUCCAGCCAUAAAAUUCUGUUUUAAGAAAUUAAGUUGUAACCAGCAGAGUGUUGACAAUACUUACUAAAGAGUUUUGCCAGUAGGAAAUGGCCUAACCUUAUUUUUUGCUGACAUAAUAUUCUACUUCAAAUGUGUCCAUCAGCUGGGUCUCCUCUUAAUUCAAAUAAGCAAUUUUUUUUUUUUUUAACCCGCAAACAUUUUGUAAGAAACCAGGCACUUAUUUUAUACUGGCCAUUCAUUGUGAAUAUAGAAUAAAAGUAAUGGUCAAACUGUCAUUCUAAAUAGAAACUUUUGUUAAGAUUUCAACUCAGAAUCAAGCGUGGGUUUUCAAAUCCGCCCCACUCACACGUGCUGGUUUCACUCAAUUGGCUCACCCAGUGUUUGCCCCAUGUAUUUUUAUUUUAUUGACCUUUUAAACAUGUUUAUCUUCUGACGUCAUCUUGAACUUAGCGAAAUUGUUUCCUCUUUUCCCAGAGGUGUCCAACCCAGUGUUGGAUGAAACUUGUUGCAAGUCAUAUAUUUUGCCGCAGGAAAACAAGUCAGGAUGUCGAUUGGUAGUUUGGUAGUUUUUACCGACCCUCAGCCCUUGCAGCAAUGGCGGUUUCUGGCUAUGCUACAGUGGGAUGCAACUUUUAUUGUGGGGAUGAAUAAAGUGAAGUAGAAUGAAAGGCAAGUUUUGUUCCUCUAAUACUGGAUUAACAUGGAGACGUUGGAUGAUACCUGGCAGUUUCUGUGACAGGUGUAAAAUGAUGUUCUCCAUUACUGUUUCUGUACCAGUAAGUCUUAGAUGAGGUAAGCAGGAAGAGGUGAGGAAUUAUGCAUCCAGUUAGAUUACAUUCUCCAUAAAGAGGAACUGUUAUCCAGGGAACUGUCAAUUCUCUGGUGACCAGAAAACACUUUUAAUUAGUAGAGAAGUUUUUCUAACUUAAGACUUUAAAGCAAUGUUCUUUACUUGUUACUCCUCAUUUUUUUGGCUUGCCUCGAUUAAGUCACAACUCAUCAUUUUAUACAAAACACCAUUAGGUGUUUUUUGUGAUGCCUAGCUCUACAACGCCUAAGCAGUGCAGUGCCUUAAAUGAAAAAUGGACAAUAGUCAUUUGUAUAUUUCUUUUGGAAUACAUUUUUCUCUAAAUUUCCCAGAUUCGCAUGAUAAGCUUAUAGUUAGCUUCACAGUUGAUACCAUUGCCAUCUAUGGAAUGGGGUCAACACUUCCAAAUUCCCAGUAUCCAGAAAGAUGAUUUGAUGAAAUCUGGUUAGAUGGAUCUCUUCAGAUUGUAAUAUUCAAUUCCAGCCUUCACUUAUAGUCAUGCACUUGCAAGGAGAGGACUACUGGUUUCUCUAAAUGUCACCUAAGCCUUUAAUGCUUUAAAGCUUUUUCCUCCCCCCAAAUUGUUACUAUAAAUUUAUAAGAUACUAAAAAAUAAUGCCAGAUGGGGCAUACAUUUUGUAGAAUGAGGAGAUGUGGUGCUCUUUUUUUCUCUCUCAAAGUGCUUUCUCAGCAGGACACUAGCCCCGCCUUGAGGACAAGAGGGAAGGAGAGGCGGACUCUUCUGCUCCCUCCAGGCUUGCCGCUGAAACAGCCCUCCUGGAAGGUCAGCAAAGCACACUGCGUUGCUACUGCCCAGCGGGGUUUCUGGAAGGGAGCACCUGCUGGAGAUUCCUUGCCCCUGCUGACCGAUGGCAUCCGCCCAGUGCUCCUGCCCAUGGACUUCAGGGUCCAAGCUAAAGUCCCAACGGGGAAGAGAAAGUACGGAUUCCUGUGUUACAGGAGAGAAAUGCCGCUGGUCUUAGAAGCCUGUAAUGACUUACUCCAGUCCUCAGGAGAGUGUAAACACUGUCACCACCGAAGUGGUGAGUGCCACUGCACAGCGCCUGGCACAAAGUACAUGCUCACAGACUUUUAGUAAGGAGCAGCUAACGAAAAUUCUGGUUCACGCCGGCCGAUUUCUGGUAGUUUAUUUGUCGCAUUGAACGAAGACAACACAAUAUGAAAUGUGUGGACUCCGCUCCCAGAGGAGAAGCGAGAAAAUUCAGGCUAGAGCAGAUCUAUUCAAACACAAGAAACACUUGAUUCAGAGGGAGGAGAAAACUGACUGAUAUUCAGAAUUCACGUACAGCCUUCUUGGAUUUAUUUCAGACACCAGCCACAAUCACUUCCUCUUGUUUUGUAAAUAAAGUGUUUGGUCCUCUUUCUAGUUA